rnacentral:rRNA from 1 species
GACGAACGCUGGCGGCGUGCUUAACACAUGCAAGUCGAACGGAAAGGCCCUGCUUUUGUGGGGUGCUCGAGUGGCGAACGGGUGAGUAACACGUGAGUAACCUGCCCUUGACUUUGGGAUAACUUCAGGAAACUGGGGCUAAUACCGGAUAGGAGCUCCUGCUGCAUGGUGGGGGUUGGAAAGUUUCGGCGGCUGGGGAUGGACUCGCGGCUUAUCAGCUUGUUGGUGGGGUAGUGGCUUACCAAGGCUUUGACGGGUAGCCGGCCUGAGAGGGUGACCGGCCACAUUGAGACUGAGAUACGGCCCAGACUCCUACGGGAGGCAGCAGUGGGGAAUAUUGCACAAUGGGCGGAAGCCUGAUGCAGCAACGCCGCGUGCGGGAUGACGGCCUUCGGGUUGUAAACCGCUUUCGCCUGUGACGAAGCGUGAGUGACGGUAAUGGGUAAAGAAGCACCGGCUAACUACGUG